GAUGAACGCUGGCGGCGUGCCUAAUACAUGCAAGUCGAGCGAACAGACGAGGAGCUUGCUCCUCUGACGUUAGCGGCGGACGGGUGAGUAACACGUGGAUAACCUACCUAUAAGACUGGGAUAACUUCGGGAAACCGGAGCUAAUACCGGAUAAUAUAUUGAACCGCAUGGUUCAAUAGUGAAAGACGGUUUUGCUGUCACUUAUAGAUGGAUCCGCGCCGCAUUAGCUAGUUGGUAAGGUAACGGCUUACCAAGGCAACGAUGCGUAGCCGACCUGAGAGGGUGAUCGGCCACACUGGAACUGAGACACGGUCCAGACUCCUACGGGAGGCAGCAGUAGGGAAUCUUCCGCAAUGGGCGAAAGCCUGACGGAGCAACGCCGGGUGAGUGAUGAAGGUCUUCGGAUCGUAAAACUCUGUUAUUAGGGAAGAACAAAUGUGUAAGUAACUAUGCACGUCUUGACGGUACCUAAUCAGAAAGCCACGGCUAACUACGU
rnacentral:rRNA from 1 species